GAGGGUAUAGAUCAUGGUAGAGCACAUGCUUUGCAUGCAUGAGGUCCUGGGUUCAACCCCCAGUGCCUCCU
rnacentral:tRNA from 1 species